rnacentral:rRNA from 1 species
GUAGGCGGCAAGCGUUGUCCGGAAUUAUUGGGCGUAAAGCGCGCGCAGGCGGUUCUUUAAGUCUGAUGUGAAAGCCCACGGCUCAACCGUGGAGGGUCAUUGGAAACUGGAGAACUUGAGUACAGAAGAGGAAAGCGGAAUUCCACGUGUAGCGGUGAAAUGCGUAGAGAUGUGGAGGAACACCAGUGGCGAAGGCGGCUUUCUGGUCUGUAACUGACGCUGAGGCGCGAAAGCGUGGGGAGCAAACAGGAUUAGAUACCCUGGUAGUCCACGCCGUAAACGAUGAGUGCUAAGUGUUAGGGGGGUUUCCGCCCCCCUUAGUGCUGCAGCUAACGCAUUAAGCACUCCGCCUGGGAGUACGGCCGCAAGGCUG